GAAAUGCGAUAAGUAGUGUGAAUUGCAGAAUUCAGUGAAUCAUCGAAUCUUUGAACGCACAUUGCGUCCCUUGGUAUUCCAUGGGGCAUGCCUGUUCGAGCGUCAUUUGUACCCUCAAGCUCUGCUUGGUGUUGGGUGUUUGUCCCCGUCUCCGCGCGUGGACUCGCCCCAAAGUGAUUGGCAGCCGGCGUACUGGUCCCGGAGCGCAGCACAUGUCGCGCAAACGAGUGCCUUGGUACGGCGGCGUCCAUAAGCCCCUCUCUCACGCUCUUGACCUCGGAUCAGGCGGGGUUACCCGCUGAACUUAAGC
rnacentral:misc_RNA from 1 species